AUUCCUUAUGCAUGACAUGUAAUGGCUUGUGCAGCCACACAUGGCCCAUGAGUGCCAAAGACAAAUUUCAUGGCAUAAGAUCUUAGAAUUUUGCAUUGGACCAUGGAAUAGGCAUUGAGAACCAUCAUUGGUGUGACAAUCCUUGAAAUGGUGAUCAUAUCUCACUUGUAAGCUAAAGAAUCCUAAUGUAAGGCAUGUGUGGUGGUUGGGGGUACUGAUGAAUCUAAUUACUACACACCUAGCCCACAAAACCACAAACAUAAAUGCUAACACACCUAUAAACAUAAGCAUCAAUGCACCUAACCUAUUUACUUAUCCACGCAUCUAAUCAAUGCAUCUUGUUGGUGACCAUUCUCCUCUCAGGUAAACAAUUAAUCAUGUGUUAAUUAGACCGAGUAGGUCCAAGGGGGAUAGGGUUUAAUGUGUUAAUAAUCACCUAACCUAGACCUUGAAUCUACACCCCCUAACCUUCUAAAUCAUCGACCCAUAACCCAUAACCCAUAACCCUUCUAAAGAUGUAAUGUGAUUUAUUCCCAUUGCCCUGCAAGUUAAAGUGAAGAAAUUCAACCAAGCGCGGGUAAACGGCGGGAGUAACUAUGACUCUCUUGAGGUAGACAUAUCCCUCGUCAUCUAAUUAGUGAUGUGCAUGAAUGGAUUAACAAAAUUCCCUUCUAUCCCUAGCUACUAUAUUAUGGAGAAACCACAUCCAAGGGAAUGGGCUUGGCAGAAUUAGCAGGGAAAGAAGACCCUGUUAAGCUUGAAUCUAGUCCUAACCCAUUCAUAAUUUGGGA
rnacentral:ncRNA from 1 species